UGGGCUGCGAAGAGUAAGCAAAGGAGAAUGACGGUCUUUCAUCAUUGUAUUAGCAAAGAAUCCUGAAAUCGGAUUCAUGUGGCCUGGGGAUGCCGGGGAGUCGCUGAAGACACUUGGGGAAGGCGCUUUAUUUUCAUAUCUGUGAUAAUGCGACUCGCCCCAGCACGUCGUGGCAAAGCUCCAGUGAGGCAAAGCACCUUGUCAACGCUGGAGAACCACGCACGUUUGACAGGUGGCUGCGGCUACAGUUGCCUGUUUUGUUUUCUCCUUUGGUCUUUUCCUGUGAGGGUGAGAUUUGGCCAUGCUCUCACUGGGUGUUCAUCCUCCUGCAUCCGGGGCUCAUCGCCGGGGUCCCUGAGUCUAGCUCCGCAAGAAAUGAUUGAAUGUCGACACUGCCAGGGGGACAAUGAUGCUUCCUUCACGAGCUUAUGAUUACGGAUAAAUGAAAUAAUACGCAAGGCACAGUGUUGGGACAUUGUGGACGCUUGGUGGGACAACCGCAGCGCAGGGAGCCCAGGGGACUCACCGGACGUCCCACGGCCAGGCCGGCCAGGUGGGCAGUGCCCGGCUGGCACCACCUCUCAGGCUAGUGCCUUUGACCCCGGGGGCGGGCACAGCCAGCUCCAGCUGUUCGCACUGCUUGCCCGGUGGUAAGCAUGGGCUGUCAAAUUCCAGCUCUGCAGACACACGAUGGCAGGUGCUCACCCGCUGGUGAUGCCCCGAGAGGUGGAGCACUGCCCACCUGUGUGGAGGACAGCGUGCGAUCCUCUGGCCCGGGAGGCUCCGAGCCAGCAGGUUAGUGAGAGAGCUGAUCACAGAGGGGGAGAAACUCCUGGCAUGGCGGGAACCAAGGGAUUUUUGUGGGAGGGAGACGACAAGGUGGGGACACAGAAGGCUGUUCUCAUUCUGUUUUGUGUCUACAAUUGGUGAGACGGUGAGGGCUCCUUCAAAUGUCCAUAUGCUAAUAAGUACCACAGCACGUAUGUACACACAUAUAUUUGUCUGCAUAGUUUUUCUAUUCGAAAAGUAACAUGCUUGUUGUAAAUAGCUUGGAAGUACAGAAAUGAGAAAAGGCAACUUCCCAUGUUUUCGACAUAAAGGGACGAAGAUUAUUAACCACACAGGUACAUUCCCAUGUUUUCCUAUGUAUUGUUUUACCCAGGUGGGUUCAUAGUGAGUCUAACCUUUUAUAUCUUGCUUGUUUCACUUACCAGGUGCAUUUUCCAUGUUAUUACACAUUCUUUCUUUUCUUUUUAAAAAAUGUUCAUUUUUGAGAGAAGGAGCAUGAGCAGGGGAGGGGUGGAGAGAGAGGGGGACAGAGGAUCUGAAACGGGCCCUGCGCCGAGAUCAGAGAGCCUGAUGCGGG